rnacentral:rRNA from 1 species
GACGUAGGGCGCGAGCGUUGUCCGGAUUUAUUGGGCGUAAAGAGCUCGUAGGCGGCUUGUCGCGUCGUUCGUGAAAACCCACGGCUCAACUGUGGGCUUGCGGUCGAUACGGGCAGGCUGGAGUUCGGUAGGGGAGACUGGAAUUCCUGGUGUAGCGGUGAAAUGCGCAGAUAUCAGGAGGAACACCGAUGGCGAAGGCAGGUCUCUGGGCCAUUACUGACACUGAGAAGCGAAAGCAUGGGGAGCGAACAGG